GAAAAACCUCUGAGUGUGCCCUCCUCUUAGGUGCCUUCAGUGCAUAACCAGCACACUCAAUAACCAAACUCCUGUGACCUGCAGUGCAGCAUUAUCCAAAC